rnacentral:other from 1 species
GAGGCCCGAGCCUGUUCGUUAGCCGACUCACUAUUUGACCCAACAUCAACGGCACGGGAGUCGAUUUCUCUAUCCCCCGCGGGACGGAGAUAGACACCCACCUUUUUCACAAGGGAUCAAUGCCGGAGUUGGAGACGGCAGGUUGGGGCCUCG